AAAUUCAUGCCACACCCGUUUGUUUUGCUUUUAACGAUUUAUUUAGGUUUUCAAAAGCUAUAAGUUAAGCUUUAAAAUGAAUAAAAUCUAUAUAUAUAGUUUCGGUUUUUUAAUAACCUUAUCAUUUUUUAUAUUUAAAGUGUAUGGUCUUGAAUGUUAUGUAUGUGAAAAUCAGGAAGAUAACAACGAAAAAUGUGUUAAAACCAUAAAAACUUGUGAAUAUGAUCAAGACGUUUGUCUAACCGAAAUUAAAUGGGGUAGUACACCUUAUUGGUCUCAAGGGGCAAAGAAGCAGUACUAUGUGUCGAAACGGUGUUCUAAUAGGACAGACUGCGCCACAACCAGGGAACGGUAUAUGCCAACAUGCACACAUAUUUGGUAUCAAGAUUGGGUAUGUUCAGAUUGCUGUCAGGGUGACCGCUGCAACUAUUACAUUAUAAGUGGAAAUGCAACUAUCCAGCCAUUUUUAUGUAUGGUCAUAGGCAGUGUAAUGCUUCUAAGACUUCUAAGUAAUAAGUUUAUUCUUUACACAUAGUUAAAAGGUAAACAAUAUCUUUUGGAGAAUAACUAUAUUCUUUUCUCCCAUUAUGACCAUCCAAUUUAUGUAUAAGUUUCUAUUUUUUAUAAGGUGACUUUAAGAUAUUUACACACAUUCUUUUCAAAGACUUUUUUUAUAACAACUUACUAUUAUACAAAUGAUUUUAAUAGCUUUUAAGUAAUGAUAUUAUGU